UGAGGAAUAUUGGUCAAUGGACGAGAGUCUGAACCAGCCAAGUAGCGUGCAGGAUGACGGCCCUAUGGGUUGUAAACUGCUUUUAUAUGGGGAUAAAGUGGGGAACGUGUUCCCUUUUGCAGGUACCAUAUGAAUAAGGACCGGCUAAUUCCGUGCCAGCAGCCGCGGUAAUACGGAAGGUUCGGGCGUUAUCCGGAUUUAUUGGGUUUAAAGGGAGCGUAGGCCGUUUGGUAAGCGUGUUGUGAAAUGUAGGAGCUCAACUUCUAGAUUGCAGCGCGAACUGUCAGACUUGAGUGCGCACAACGUAGGCGGAAUACAUGGUGUAGCGGUGAAAUGCUUAGAUAUCAUGAAGAACUCCGAUUGCGAAGGCAGCUUACGGGAGCGCAACUGACGCUGAAGCUCGAAGGUGCGGGUAUCGAACAGG
rnacentral:rRNA from 1 species